rnacentral:rRNA from 1 species
AACCUGGAAACAGAUGCUAAUAACCGGAUAAUAACAGAUGAUGCCUAUCAACUGUUUAAAAGAUGGUUCUGCUAUCACUCUUGGAUGGACCUGCGGUGCAUUAGCUAGUUGGUAGGGUAACGGCCUACCAAGGCGAUGAUGCAUAGCCGAGUUGAGAGACUGAUCGGCCACAUUGGGACUGAGACACGGCCCAAACUCCUACGGGAGGCAGCAGGG